rnacentral:rRNA from 1 species
UACAGAGGGGGCAAGCGUUGUUCGGAAUUACUGGGCGUAAAGGGCGCGUAGGCGGCCUGUUAAGUCGAACGUGAAAUCCCCGGGCUCAACCCGGGAACUGCGUCCGAUACUGGCAGGCUUGAAUCCGGGAGAGGGAUGCGGAAUUCCAGGUGUAGCGGUGAAAUUCGUAGAUAUUCGCAAGAACACCAGUGGCGAAGGCGGCUCACUGGCCCGAUACUGACGCUGAGGUGCGAAAGCGUGGGGAGCAAACAGG